GGCGAAUUGAGUACUUCAAUUGAUUCUUCCCAAAAUAGUUACUUUAUUUCUCGCGAUUUUGGCAAAUCAGACAAUCGAACAGAACAAGCAAAAGGAAAAAAUACCUAUAUGCGUGGAAUGUAAACACCAGCUGUUUUUAGCACGUGCAAUAUAGUACACAAACAAGGCGAAUAAAGUACACAAAACUUUGCCGAAUUGAAAUAAGCACAGGCGAGUUCGCCUUAUAAUACGUUCACAUAUAAGUAGAUGAUCUACUUUUUGGCGCUUAACUCAAAAUCCGUGAUUAAAAAGCGCGAUUUUCCAUACAGAAUUUCUCUCCCAAAAUCUGAGAUUUAAAAAAUAGUCUUAGAUAAUAACUAUACUUUUUGACACACAACCGUGUUUUCUAUGUUAUCGAUAAUUAUUAUUACGAAUGUAAGGAGAAACAUCAAAAUAAAAACUAAAUGAAAUGGAUGCCGGCAAAGAAAACAGAAAAACGCGAUUACAUUGGUAUAGAGUCGAGUUUCUUUUAGAGUUGUGGGAGGAGAAGCUGUAUAUGCAGACAUGGCUUUGUGUUCUCGUCAAGAGAAAUAAAGGUUAAAAUACACAAUUUAACAAAUAAAUAUAGAGAUGGGAAGAAAGUUGUUGGGCCUUCGGCGGUACCUCUCUGCGUGGGCGAACUACGAUAAAGUGCAUCAUAUCCUUGGCGGAUACAAGUAUUUUAACCUUGAAGCAGUUGUGGAAGAGAGUGUAGUGGAGACCCUUCAAAUUGAGGCAGAGGAAGAAUGCAGCAGCUCUUAUCAAAUGCAAACACCUUCGGUGGAAUUUACAUUGGAAGAUUUCCAAUAUGCAUUUUUGGAAGAAUUUCGGGCGGCCAACCAAACGAUUGCCCGAGAAAUUUUAGAACUGAAGGAUAAUAGUAGAGAAGCCCAGCAAAUUGAGAGGGAACGAAAUGGUAUUCUCGAAAAAAUUUUAAGGCCUUCAAGCAAAAUAGGCAGUGGAAUUUUCUAUCGCUACCCAAAUGAAUACAAAUUCGUAAACCACACCAAAAAAAAAAAAAACUAAAGAUUUUAAAAGAAAAAUUAAAAAAAAUGUGAUAAAUGAAUUAUUUUUAUUUUAAGUUUACAGAAUACGAAUUUUAAGUUUACAGAAGGAAUUGUUAGUACUUUAGGUAAGUU